UACAGAGGGCUCAAGCGUUGUUCGGAUUCAUUGGGCGUAAAGGGCGGGUAGGCGGCCACCGCAAGUCAGUUGUGAAAUCUCUGGGCUUAACCCAGAAAGGUCAACUGAUACUGCGGGGCUAGAGUGCAGAAGGGGCAACUGGAAUUCUCGGUGUAGCGGUGAAAUGCGUAGAUAUCGAGAGGAACACCUGCGGCGAAGGCGGGUUGCUGGGCUGACACUGACGCUGAACUGCGAAAGCUAGGGGAGCGAACGGG
rnacentral:rRNA from 1 species